UCUCCGUUGGUGAACCAGCGGAGGGAUCAUUACUGGAAUCGCAAGAUCCCACAACCCCUGUGAACCUACCGAAACGUUGCCUCGGCGGGCGCCCGGCCCUGCGCCGGGCGCUGAGCCCGCCGGCGGCCCCCUACUCUUGUCUCUGCAGCGUGGCAUCUCCGAGUCCCAGAAAACAAGUAAAAACUUUCAACAACGGAUCUCUUGGCUCUA
rnacentral:misc_RNA from 1 species